AGACCCGAAACCCGGUGAUCUAGCCAUGGGCAGGUUGAAGGUUGGGUAACACUAACUGGAGGACCGAACCGACUAAUGUUGAAAAAUUAGCGGAUGACCUGUGGCUGGGGGUGAAAGGCCAAUCAAACCGGGAGAUAGCUGGUUCUCCCCGAAAGCUAUUUAGGUAGCGCCUCGUGAACUCAUCUCCGGGGGUAGAGCACUGUUUCGGCUAGGGGGCCAUCCCGGCUUACCAACCCGAUGCAAACUGCGAAUACCGGAGAAUGUUAUCACGGGAGACACACGGCGGGUGCUAACGUCCGUCGUGAAGAGGGAAACAACCCAGACCGCCAGCUAAGGUCCCAAAGUCAUGGUUAAGUGGGAAACGAUGUGGGAAGGCCCAGACAGCCAGGAUGUUGGCUUAGAAGCAGCCAUCAUUUAAAGAAAGCGUAAUAGCUCACUGGUCGAGUCGGCCUGCGCGGAAGAUGUAACGGGGCUAAACCAUGCACCGAAGCUGCGGCAGCGAACGUAUCACUUAAAGCGAUUCAGCGGGUUACGAUUGACGGAGCGAAGCGACGUCAAAGCGUAUACAAAGUCGAGUCGGUUUAAGGAUACGUUCGUUGGGUAGGGGAGCGUUCUGUAAGCCUGUGAAGGUGGCCUGUGAGGGUUGCUGGAGGUAUCAGAAGUGCGAAUGCUGACAUAAGUAACGAUAAAGCGGGUGAAAAGCCCGCUCGCCGGAAGACCAAGGGUUCCUGUCCAACGUUAAUCGGGGCAGGGUGAGUCGACCCCUAAGGCGAGGCCGAAAGGCGUAGUCGAUGGGAAACGGGUUAAUAUUCCCGUACUUGGUGUUACUGCGAAGGGGGGACGGAGAAGGCUAUGUUGGCCGGGCGACGGUUGUCCCGGUUUAAGCGUGUAGGUGUGUGUUCCAGGUAAAUCCGGUUCACUUUAACACUGAGGCGUGAUGACGAGGCACUACGGUGCUGAAGCAACAAAUGCCCUGCUUCCAGGAAAAGCCUCUAAGCAUCAGGUAACAUCAAAUCGUACCCCAAACCGACACAGGUGGUCAGGUAGAGAAUACCAAGGCGCUUGAGAGAACUCGGGUGAAGGAACUAGGCAAAAUGGUGCCGUAACUUCGGGAGAAGGCACGCUGACACGUAGGUGAAGUGAUUUACUCACGGAGCUGAAGUCAGUCGAAGAUACCAGCUGGCUGCAACUGUUUAUUAAAAACACAGCACUGUGCAAACACGAAAGUGGACGUAUACGGUGUGACGCCUGCCCGGUGCCGGAAGGUUAAUUGAUGGGGUCAGCGCAAGCGAAGCUCCUGAUCGAAGCCCCGGUAAACGGCGGCCGUAACUAUAACGGUCCUAAGGUAGCGAAAUUCCUUGUCGGGUAAGUUCCGACCUGCACGAAUGGCGUAAUGAUGGCCAGGCUGUCUCCACCCGAGACUCAGUGAAAUUGAACUCGCUGUGAAGAUGCAGUGUACCCGCGGCAAGACGGAAAGACCCCGUGAACCUUUACUAUAGCUUGACACUGAACAUUGAGCCUUGAUGUGUAGGAUAGGUGGGAGGCUUUGAAGU
rnacentral:rRNA from 1 species